UCAUAGCUCAGUUGGUGGAGCAUGAGACUUUUAAUCUUGGGGUCAUGGGUUCGAGCCCCACUUGGGCAGAA
rnacentral:tRNA from 1 species